UACAGAGGGUGCAAGCGUUAAUCGGAAGUACUGGGCGUAAAGCGUGCGCAGGCGGUGAUGUAAGACAGAUGUGAAAUCCCCGGGCUCAACCUGGGAACUGCAUUUGUGACUGCAUCGCUGGAGUGCGGCAGAGGGGGAUGGAAUUCCGCGUGUAGCAGUGAAAUGCGUAGAUAUGCGGAGGAACACCGAUGGCGAAGGCAAUCCCCUGGGCCUGCACUGACGCUCAUGCACGAAAGCGUGGGGAGCAAACAGG
rnacentral:rRNA from 1 species